rnacentral:lncRNA from 1 species
AUGACUUGGGUCACAAGGCAUGGAGAAACUCAUUUGGACCUUAUACAUGAAGAAGGGAUCAAAAUGGCAUCUUGGAUGGCCUUGGAAAGGAUCAGGCGAGAUGCUGUCCGUGUAUGGAUAAGGUCUUCACUCCUAUUGGCUUAUUCAGUCCACAAGACAGCUCAUGACAGCCUGUAAAGACCAGACUCGCCAAAGGCUCCCAUUGGCCAAGCAUGUGAUGAUUCUGGUCCAUAGAAUUCAAAUGGGCGCUCCCCUUUAUGCUGACUUCACAUGCUUAGGUUAUCUGAUGAAUUCAGCCUCCAUUUAUGUAUUUAAGCUUCUUGUAAACAAUUGGAAACAUUAAGUGAGUAAGGGGGUUUCCCCUCUCCUUCUCUAAUCUGAAACACUAAUCUUCAGUCUCUUAUUCUCUCAGUCUCUCUAGUCUCUUAAGUCUCUUAAUCUCUCUGUUCUUAAGUCUCUUAUACACUCUCACAAAUCUCUCUUCCUAAAUCACCUAGAACAAGCUCUAAUCAUUCUUCAUUGAAGCUUAUACACACACACAUACUACCAGAGUAGAGAUCUCUUUAAAAAUCACAUGGUAUCAGAGCCAGGUUCAUCAGAACCUGAGCUGUAGCUUCCGCAC